rnacentral:rRNA from 1 species
CUAGGAGAUUUUAGUGAAACUGUAUACUCAUCUCAAAAAGAGGGCGGUAAUGCGAGACCAAAUGAUAUGAUGAAGAAUUUCCAUGACUGUCUCAUGAAGUGUGGUCUGUAAGAUUUGGGUUUCGUUGGUGACCCUUUUACUUGGAGGAGAGGUGAUAUCACGGAAAGACUUGACCUAGAAAUUUGUCAUGUCGAGUGA